AUUGAACGCUGGCGGCAUGCCUUACACAUGCAAGUCGAACGGCAGCAUGGAGAGCUUGCUCUCUGAUGGCGAGUGGCGAACGGGUGAGUAAUGCAUCGGAACGUACCGUGUAAUGGGGGAUAACGUAGCGAAAGUUACGCUAAUACCGCAUACGACCUGAGGGUGAAAGCAGGGGAUCGCAAGACCUUGCGUUAUACGAGCGGCCGAUGUCAGAUUAGCUAGUUGGUGAGGUGAAGGCUCACCAAGGCGACGAUCUGUAGCGGGUCUGAGAGGAUGAGCCGCCACACUGGGACUGAGACCCGGCCCAGACUCCUACGGGAGGCAGCAGUGGGGAAUUUUGGACAAUGGGGCAACCCUGAUCCAGCCAUGCCGCGUGAGUGAAGAAGGCCUUCGGGUUGUAAAGCUCUUUCGGCCGGGAAGAAAUCGCACAGGCUAAUACUCUGUGUGGAUGACGGUACCGGCAUAAGAAGCACCGGCUAACUACGUGCCAGCCGCCGCAGUAA
rnacentral:rRNA from 1 species